CAUGCAAUGCAUGCUUUGCAGCUCAUGUGGUUGUGUUUGUAUAUAUAUAUGUUGAGAGAGAGAGAGAGAGGAGAUAAGAGAAGACAAAUAGGAGGAAGGGAUUAAGAAAUCAAAUAGAAUCAGAGAGAAGGGUGCUGAAUUAUUCGUAUUUAUCUUCCUGCUUGGGAUGUCAGCCUGCAACAGGGUAAUGAUUCGCAGCUCUCUUUGUUCUUUGCUUAGCUAUUUUAUGUAGUAAAUCGUUGUCUUUCAUGGUUGCUUUUAGGCAGAAACUGCAAAACAAGUUUUAUAUGCAAGGGUUUUAUAUAAUGCUGCCUAUUUGAUGCAAAACUAUUCUAUAUAACGUAUACCUAUUUUUACAACUACAGCCUUUUGGUUUCAAGUAUGGUAUGAUCAGUUUGUUCACUAUAUAGUACUGGAUAAUGCAAAGCCUGUUUUGAUUGAAAGUGUUGGUCUAUUUGUAAUACCCUUAUAAAACGACUUUUACAAUUCCAACUCGGUUGGAGUAUUAUUUUGUAAAAUAGUUCAUACUGAUACAUAUCAGGAAAAUAUAUAUGUAUAUAUGUAUAAUAUGACAAAGCUUUUAUGCAAUUAUAUAAGCCAAAGUGUUUUGAGGAACUUGUAUUAUACAGUGAGCUAUAUAUAUAUAUUGCUUAUUUCCUAAAUCCUUUUACAUUCAAACGUCUCCUAUUGUAGUUGCGUUAUUUCAUAUCGACCAAAAUGACUUUUGAAUCAAGUGGUGUUAGAUUAGUAAUACCAAGUAGUCUAACUAGGGUUACAUUUGUUAUGCAUUUUAGUGAUUUGCUUGUACUUGUGAAAUAGGAAUUGAUCACAAUAGUGGUGCACUCUUGUAAUAGAGAGUUGGUGCAAUGCUUUGGAGUCCAGGUAGGGGAAAUAUGGUAGACCUUUACAGAUAUUGAUUCUAUUAAAUUUCGUGAAGUACUAUAUUUGUGUUGGUUGAUUAAUGUGGUUGGACAUUGUUUGGAUUAUUGCUUCAGUUGGUUGUUUACUUGUUAGUACUACUGGAAUGUUAUUCGUUGAGAUAUAUAUUGUGACAUGGAGAUAUAUUGUGACAUGUGAAAGAUGUAAUAACGUUGCUUGUGCAUCACUCAUGUGUCAGAAGUGGUUGGAACUUUGUAGGUGAGAAGGAAUUGGAAAUGAGGGUAGUUGGAAAUGAUCUUUUGUGUAGUUGAGCCAAACUCUUAGCAGGUACCAGGUCUCAGGUGAGCCCACAGUGCACAGAUUCUUUAAGGGUAAUUCGGGACUGGCGACGAAGAGUUUAGGCAAGAUGACUAACAAAAGGGGAAAUUGGGAUGAUUGAGUUACAUGGGGUUAAUUUGUAUAAUAAAACAUUCGAACCACCACUGCAGAGGUAAAAUGCACGGUAUGGGACGUGCAGGUCCGCGUGUUUUAUUAUAUGAAUUAACGGGUAGAGAUGAAGAGUAUUGUAUCGCACUCAUGCAUUGUUGAUGAUAAUGAUUUGGUACUUGAUUACAUGAUUUUAUGACACUUAAUUUAAUAUUGUCAAUUUAUUGUAAUAAGGUUAUGUCCCUACUGAGCUAUUAAAGCUCACCCCUCUAUUGUUAUGCAGGUUGACGAACUAAACAAUCUAAGAGGGUAGACGGGAUGAGAUCGGAUUAAGUGUGAGGAUAGAAUUUUGUAUUUAUUUAUUUUAGCCUUGUAAAGAAUUAUUGAGUUAUUUUAAAUAAGAAGAGUUUAUUUUCCAACCCGUGUCAAUUUCCUUUUCUUUAUUUUUAGUUUUUAGUUCACGUUUCAGAUUCGGGUUCAAGUUUUUACUACCAACCCCGGGUUCGGGGCGUGACAGAAAUCUUGGCAUUCUCUUCUCUCGGUUUUAUCUUCUCAAACUCAUGUCUUUCUUUUGGUUUUAUUUGAUAAUAAUGUGUAACUAAAUUUUUAGUAGUUAGGGGCUGUUUUGAAGCUCCGAAUAUGAUUGCAAGUUUGUUAUGACAUUUUGUUUGAAUUACUUUUAUGAAUUGAUGAAAAUUGAUUCACUACUAGUCUCAUUGAUGAAUUCUUUAUGUGUUUUCUACGGAUGCAUACUUAGUAAGCAUAUCUAGGAUUCUAAUGCUAUGAAUAUGUGUGUGCCUGCCCUUGUCGAAUGAUGACCUACAUAUGUUCUAGAGUAGUACUUGUUAAUUGCGAUUAACAUGUGAACUAAUUUGUAGGAUAAGUAAGACAACGUCAGUACUUACGAUGCCUUGUGAUGACUCAAACUCUUUUUGUUCUUAAUGAUUUCUAUUUGUUAAAUCUAUGAACACGCCAUUCUAGAUUGCAUGCUAGGGACUAAGUUAAGUUGAAAAUGCCAUUCUCUUAACAUACUACAUAAGAAAGAGUAAUAG
rnacentral:lncRNA from 1 species